UACGGAGGAUGCAAGCGUUAUCCGGAAUGAUUGGGCGUAAAGCGUCCGCAGGUGGCUGUGUAAGUCUGCUGUCAAAGAGCGAAGCUCAACUUCGUAAAGGCAGUGGAAACUACACGGCUAGAGUGCGUUCGGGGCAGAGGGAAUUCCUGGUGUAGCGGUGAAAUGCGUAGAUAUCGUGAGGAAGACCAGUGGCGAAGGCGGGUCUCUGGACAGUUCCUGACACUGAGGCACGAAGGCCAGGGGAGCAAACGGG
rnacentral:rRNA from 1 species